GGUUCCCUGGGGUGUUCGCCAGCAGGCUUAUGUCCCUGAGCCGAUGCUUUUUGAAAAAGGGGAUCACUGGCCCGUCAUGAGCAAGCCCGACACGCAUCGGGAAGCCUACGACGGAUACCAAUUGCUCCCCGCCUUGAACCAGUGGGUUCAAGGGCUACGGCCACGCAGCGGCAUCUUGGGGAACCA
rnacentral:other from 1 species